UACAGAGGUGGCAAGCGUUGUUCGGAAUUACUGGGCGUAAAGGGCGCGUAGGCGGUCCGAUAAGUCCUGUGUGAAAUCCCUCGGCUCAACUGAGGAACUGCACGGGAGACUGUCGGGCUUGAGUUCGGGAGAGGGAAGCGGAAUUCCGGGUGUAGCGGUGAAAUGCGUAGAUAUCGGAAGGAGCAUCAGUGGCGAAAGCGGCUUCCUGGACCAGUACCGACGUUCAGGCACGAAAGCGUGGGGAGCAAACAGG
rnacentral:rRNA from 1 species